rnacentral:rRNA from 1 species
CCUACGGGAGGCAGCAGUGAGGAAUAUUGGACAAUGGGCGCAAGCCUGAUCCAGCCAUGCCGCGUGCAGGAAGACGGUCCUAUGGAUUGUAAACUGCUUUUGUACAGGAAGAAACACUCCCUCGUGAGGGAGCUUGACGGUACUGUAAGAAUAAGGAUCGGCUAACUCCGUGCCAGCAGCCGCGGUAAUACGGAGGAUCCAAGCGUUAUCCGGAAUCAUUGGGUUUAAAGGGUCCGUAGGCGGUUUAAUAAGUCAGUGGUGAAAUCUGGUCGCUCAACGAUCAAACGGCCAUUGAUACUGUUAGACUUGAAUUAUUAGGAAGUAACUAGAAUAUGUAGUGUAGCGGUGAAAUGCUUAGAUAUUACAUGGAAUACCAAUUGCGAAGGCAGGUUACUACUAAUGGAUUGACGCUGAUGGACGAAAGCGUGGGGAGCGAACAGGAUUAGAUACCCUGGUAGUCCACGCCGUAAACGAUGGAUACUAGCUGUUGGGCGCAAGUUCAGUGGCUAAGCGAAAGUGAUAAGUAUCCGACCUGGGGAGUAACGUUGCAAGAAUGAAACUUCAAAGGAAUUGACGG